GACGAACGCUGGCGGCGUGCCUAAUACAUGCAAGUAGAACGCUGAAGGAGGAGCUUGCUUCUCUGGAUGAGUUGCGAACGGGUGAGUAACGCGUAGGUAACCUGCCUGGUAGCGGGGGAUAACUAUUGGAAACGAUAGCUAAUACCGCAUAACAGUAGAUAUCGCAUGAUAUCUACUUGAAAGGUGCAAUUGCAUCACUACCAGAUGGACCUGCGUUGUAUUAGCUAGUUGGUGAGGUAACGGCUCACCAAGGCGACGAUACAUAGCCGACCGGAGAGGGGGAUCGGCCACGCUGGGACUGAGACACGGCCCAGACUCCUACGGGAGGCAGCAGUAGGGAAUCUUCGGCAAUGGACGGAAGUCUGACCGAGCAACGCCGCGUGAGUGAAGAAGGUUUUCGGAUCGUAAAGCUCUGUUGUAAGAGAAGAACGAGUGUGAGAGUGGAAAGUUCACACUGUGACGGUAUCUUACCAGAAAGGGACGGCUAACUACGUG
rnacentral:rRNA from 1 species